GAGUCCGAUGCUAAAUGGUUAGUGCGUUGGUCUUCCAACCCAUAAGCCGCGAGUUUGAACCUCGGCGGUUUCU
rnacentral:tRNA from 1 species